CACACAUGCUUUUAGACGGAAGUCCUAUCUUCAUGCCGGCCUGAAAGCGCAGAUUUCAACUUCUCUCCCAUAUUUCAUUUGGCACCGAUACAACUGGAGACGGUGAGACCAUGGGGAGAUGUGUUGCCCCUUCAGGCUGUGCCUGGCCGUGCCACAUGGCUAUUGACUAAGCCGAGCAAAACGACUGGAAGUACCCCAUCAGCCAUUGCUGAGAUGUGCCGCCCGGAGCAGGGAGCCAGCAGCAGCUUGGGUUGCAAACAAUCCCUUGAAAAAUGGGAUUGUCCCGGGAUCGUAUUUAGAAACAAAGCAGGUGAAUCAGCUUAUGAAAUGAUGGAGACUGACCCAGACUCUGUGAGACACAUCUGUUACACCGACAAACACCGCACGCUCUGCAAGACGAAGUAGGCAUGAGCAGCUACGGAAAGAGACACUGCAAGCACCAGAGAUGAGGGUCCAGCAGGAUGCAAACAUUGAAGAGCUGCAGACCAAGGAGGGACCAUCUGAGCCUGGUGAAAUAAACUGUCACCAACCGAAUGAGGAGGGGACACCUGAUGAUGGAGAAGAAAGUGGUCAGCUACAGACUGAAGAGAGGGGACACAUGAAGCUGGAGAAGAAGGUGAUCAGCUAAUCACAGAGGAUGAGACACACAACACCAAUCAGGAUGUGACACAUACUUUGAUUAUUGACUGUUUUGAAAUGUUCAUAGAAAACCCAUCAAAUCUGAAAGCACGUGCCCAAAUGUUUUCCAGCUACAAGCACCACCACACUAUGAAGUAUUUUAAAUGUAUUACACCCAAGGGAGCCAUUUGUUUCUUAUCAAAAGGCUUGGGAGGUCGUACAAGUGACAUAUAACCCUGAACAGUGAUUUUCUUUAUAAUUUGUUACCUGGGGACAUUGUCUUGGCUGACGGAGGUUUUGACAUACAAGAAUGUGUGGGCAUGUAGUGUUCAGAUGUCAAACUCCCAGCAUUUACAAAAGGCCGCUGUCAGUUAGCAGCUACAGAUGUGGCGGAAACUAGGAAAACAGCACAUUUGAGAAUCCAUGUUGAAAGGGUCUCGGAAAUGUUUGUCAGAAGUGUAAGAUCUUAACAGGAACCAUACCCAUGAACAUGAUUCUUCCAUGUGAAGGUGAAGAAGACACAAUGUUGGAUAAGGUUGUCACUGUCUGCUGUGCCCUGACAAGCCAGUGCCCAACAGUAGUUUAGUACAAUUAGUUUUCUUUUCGUAGUGUUUGUACAAGCAAAGUUUUUUUUUAUACGUUUGUAGAUGACUUAAACCUGUUUAAUAAAGUAUGUCAGUGACAAUUUUGAAGUCUUGACUCUUUGCCUCUCUUAGGUACAUAAAGAACUAGCGUUGGUUUUGAUAAUGAAAAGUACUUUUUUUUUACUAAUUACAUUCAAACAAUUCUGUGGAGAUAAACACUGAAUAGGAAAUACGAUGUUUGCU